rnacentral:rRNA from 1 species
GACGAACGCUGGCGGCGUGCUUAACACAUGCAAGUCGUACGGUAAGGCCCUUUCGGGGGUACACGAGUGGCGAACGGGUGAGUAACACGUGAGUAACCUGCCCACAACUUUGGGAUAACGCUAGGAAACUGGUGCUAAUACUGGAUAUGUGCUCCUGCUUCAUGGUGGGGGUUGGAAAGCUCCGGCGGUUGUGGAUGGACUCGCGGCCUAUCAGCUUGUUGGUGGGGUAGUGGCCUACCAAGGCGGCGACGGGUAGCCGGCCUGAGAGGGUGACCGGCCACAUUGGGACUGAGAGACGGCCCAGACGCCGACGGGAGGCAGCAGUGGGGAAUAUUGCACAAUGGGCGCAAGCCUGAUGCAGCAACGCCGCGGGCGGGAUGACGGCCUUCGGGUUGUAAACCGCUUUCAGCAGGGACGAAGCUUUUUGUGACGGUACCUGCAGAAGAAGCACCGGCUAACUACGUG